UACGUAGGGAGCGAGCGUUGUCCGGAUUUACUGGGUGUAAAGGGUGCGUAGGCGGGGCAGCAAGUCAGGCGUGAAAUACCGAGGCUUAACUUCGGAGCUGCGCUUGAAACUGUCGCUCUUGAGUGAAGUAGAGGCAAGCGGAAUUCCUAGUGUAGCGGUGAAAUGCGUAGAUAUUAGGAGGAACACCAGUGGCGAAGGCGGCUUGCUGGGCUUUAACUGACGCUGAAGCACGAAAGCAUGGGGAG
rnacentral:rRNA from 1 species